rnacentral:rRNA from 1 species
GACGAACGCUGGCGGCGUGCUUAACACAUGCAAGUCGAACGGAAAGGCCCUGCUUUUGUGGGGUGCUCGAGUGGCGAACGGGUGAGUAACACGUGAGUAACCUGCCCUUGACUUUGGGAUAACUUCAGGAAACUGGGGCUAAUACCGGAUAUGAGCUCCUGCUGCAUGGUGGGGGUUGGAAAGUUUCGGCGGUUGGGGAUGGACUCGCGGCUUAUCAGCUUGUUGGUGGGGUAGUGGCUUACCAAGGCUUUGACGGGUAGCCGGCCUGAGAGGGUGACCGGCCACAUUGGGACUGAGAUACGGCCCAGACGCCUACGGGAGGCAGCAGUGGGGAAUAUUGCACAAUGGGCGGAAGCCUGAGGCAGCAACGCCGCGUGCGGGAUGACGGCCUUCGGGUUGUAAACCGCUUUCGCCUGUGACGAAGCGUGAGUGACGGUAAUGGGUAAAGAAGCACCGGCUAACUACGUG